UACAGAGGUCUCAAGCGUUGUUCGGAUUCAUUGGGCGUAAAGGGUGCGUAGGUGGCGCGGUAAGUCGGGUGUGAAAUCUCGGGGCUUAACUCCGAAGCUGCAUUCGAUACUGCCGUGCUUGAGGACUGGAGAGGAGACUGGAAUUUACGGUGUAGCAGUGAAAUGCGUAGAUAUCGUAAGGAAGACCAGUGGCGAAGGCGGGUCUCUGGACAGUUCCUGACACUGAGGCACGAAGGCCAGGGGAGCAAACGGG
rnacentral:rRNA from 1 species